UUGGCCGAAACGUGGCUACGGUUUCGGAAAUUAGCCAGAGAUAUCUGCAAUUUUCCCCUCCCCUCUAACCCCCUCACUACUUUAUCGGAUAACCCUAGAAAAGAAAGAGAAAAUGCCGUCGAAAUAUACAAACUAUUGUGUAAUCCAUUUGUUCAAGGACUGCCAUGAUUCCAUCCCUUCCCUUCACCUCCAGUGACUUCUGGCGAAGCAAUCCAACAUGGGUGAUGAAUAAGACAAAUAACCUCGGAAUUGAACCGGAGGUUAGCCUAGGCCUAAAACAGACGUAAUUCACACUCCACCGGCACUUCAUCCUUCUUCUUGACAGGGGCAGCUAUGACUACCAGAAGAAAAUUGCCGGACGAUUGGCUACUAUCAGAGGAGUUUAAAACCUGGUUAUCCAGGGUAGAGGGUGAUCACACUAAAGCAUUUUGCAAUAAUUGUCAGAAGUUUUAUGCAGAUCUGACAACUAUCAAACAGCACAAGGUAAAGGUAACAGUCACUUUUAUUUUUCUACUGUAUUAAUUUGAUUGGCUGCUGAUAAUUGUGAAUAUGAUACAAACUGUAUGCAUUUUUUAUAACUGACAACCAAGAUUCAUGACGAAGAA